rnacentral:rRNA from 9 species
AGGGCGCACGGUGGAUGCCUUGGCACUAGAAGCCGAUGAAGGACGUUACUAACGACGAUAUGCUUUGGGGAGCUGUAAGUAAGCUUUGAUCCAGAGAUUUCCGAAUGGGGAAACCCAGCAUGAGUUAUGUCAUGUUAUCGAUAUGUGAAUACAUAGCAUAUCAGAAGGCACACCCGGAGAACUGAAACAUCUUAGUACCCGGAGGAAGAGAAAGAAAAUUCGAUUCCCUUAGUAGCGGCGAGCGAAACGGGAAGAGCCCAAACCAACAAGCUUGCUUGUUGGGGUUGUAGGACACUCUAUACGGAGUUACAAAGGACGACAUUAGACGAAUCAUCUGGAAAGAUGAAUCAAAGAAGGUAAUAAUCCUGUAGUCGAAAAUGUUGUCUCUCUUGAGUGGAUCCUGAGUACGACGGAGCACGUGAAAUUCCGUCGGAAUCUGGGAGGACCAUCUCCUAAGGCUAAAUACUCUCUAGUGACCGAUAGUGAACCAGUACCGUGAGGGAAAGGUGAAAAGCACCCCGGAAGGGGAGUGAAAUAGAACCUGAAACCGUGUGCUUACAAGUAGUCAGAGCCCGUUAAUGGGUGAUGGCGUGCCUUUUGUAGAAUGAACCGGCGAGUUACGAUUUGAUGCAAGGUUAAGCAGUAAAUGUGGAGCCGUAGCGAAAGCGAGUCUGAAUAGGGCGUUUAGUAUUUGGUCGUAGACCCGAAACCAGGUGAUCUACCCUUGGUCAGGUUGAAGUUCAGGUAACACUGAAUGGAGGACCGAACCGACUUACGUUGAAAAGUGAGCGGAUGAACUGAGGGUAGCGGAGAAAUUCCAAUCGAACCUGGAGAUAGCUGGUUCUCUCCGAAAUAGCUUUAGGGCUAGCCUCAAGUGAUGAUUAUUGGAGGUAGAGCACUGUUUGGACGAGGGGCCCCUCUCGGGUUACCGAAUUCAGACAAACUCCGAAUGCCAAUUAAUUUAACUUGGGAGUCAGAACAUGGGUGAUAAGGUCCGUGUUCGAAAGGGAAACAGCCCAGACCACCAGCUAAGGUCCCAAAAUAUAUGUUAAGUGGAAAAGGAUGUGGCGUUGCCCAGACAACUAGGAUGUUGGCUUAGAAGCAGCCAUCAUUUAAAGAGUGCGUAAUAGCUCACUAGUCGAGUGACACUGCGCCGAAAAUGUACCGGGGCUAAACAUAUUACCGAAGCUGUGGAUUGUCCUUUGGACAAUGGUAGGAGAGCGUUCUAAGGGCGUUGAAGCAUGAUCGUAAGGACAUGUGGAGCGCUUAGAAGUGAGAAUGCCGGUGUGAGUAGCGAAAGACGGGUGAGAAUCCCGUCCACCGAUUGACUAAGGUUUCCAGAGGAAGGCUCGUCCGCUCUGGGUUAGUCGGGUCCUAAGCUGAGGCCGACAGGCGUAGGCGAUGGAUAACAGGUUGAUAUUCCUGUACCACCUAUAAUCGUUUUAAUCGAUGGGGGGACGCAGUAGGAUAGGCGAAGCGUGCGAUUGGAUUGCACGUCUAAGCAGUAAGGCUGAGUAUUAGGCAAAUCCGGUACUCAUUAAGGCUGAGCUGUGAUGGGGAGAAGACAUUGUGUCUUCGAGUCGUUGAUUUCACACUGCCGAGAAAAGCCUCUAGAUAGAAAAUAGGUGCCCGUACCGCAAACCGACACAGGUAGUCAAGAUGAGAAUUCUAAGGUGAGCGAGCGAACUCUCGUUAAGGAACUCGGCAAAAUGACCCCGUAACUUCGGGAGAAGGGGUGCUCUUUAGGGUUAACGCCCAGAAGAGCCGCAGUGAAUAGGCCCAAGCGACUGUUUAUCAAAAACACAGGUCUCUGCUAAACCGUAAGGUGAUGUAUAGGGGCUGACGCCUGCCCGGUGCUGGAAGGUUAAGAGGAGUGGUUAGCUUCUGCGAAGCUACGAAUCGAAGCCCCAGUAAACGGCGGCCGUAACUAUAACGGUCCUAAGGUAGCGAAAUUCCUUGUCGGGUAAGUUCCGACCCGCACGAAAGGCGUAACGAUUUGGGCACUGUCUCAACGAGAGACUCGGUGAAAUCAUAGUACCUGUGAAGAUGCAGGUUACCCGCGACAGGACGGAAAGACCCCGUGGAGCUUUACUGUAGCCUGAUAUUGAAAUUCGGCACAGCUUGUACAGGAUAGGUAGGAGCCUUUGAAACGUGAGCGCUAGCUUACGUGGAGGCGCUGGUGGGAUACUACCCUAGCUGUGUUGGCUUUCUAACCCGCACCACUUAUCGUGGUGGGAGACAGUGUCAGGCGGGCAGUUUGACUGGGGCGGUCGCCUCCUAAAAGGUAACGGAGGCGCUCAAAGGUUCCCUCAGAAUGGUUGGAAAUCAUUCAUAGAGUGUAAAGGCAUAAGGGAGCUUGACUGCGAGACCUACAAGUCGAGCAGGGUCGAAAGACGGACUUAGUGAUCCGGUGGUUCCGCAUGGAAGGGCCAUCGCUCAACGGAUAAAAGCUACCCCGGGGAUAACAGGCUUAUCUCCCCCAAGAGUUCACAUCGACGGGGAGGUUUGGCACCUCGAUGUCGGCUCAUCGCAUCCUGGGGCUGUAGUCGGUCCCAAGGGUUGGGCUGUUCGCCCAUUAAAGCGGUACGCGAGCUGGGUUCAGAACGUCGUGAGACAGUUCGGUCCCUAUCCGUCGUGGGCGUAGGAAAUUUGAGAGGAGCUGUCCUUAGUACGAGAGGACCGGGAUGGACAUACCUCUGGUGUACCAGUUGUCGUGCCAACGGCAUAGCUGGGUAGCUAUGUGUGGACGGGAUAAGUGCUGAAAGCAUCUAAGCAUGAAGCCCCCCUCAAGAUGAGAUUUCCCAACUUCGGUUAU